UAUACAUGGUUUUUAGGGAUGCUGACGGAAAAGGGGUAGCUGGUGAGGGUGGUCCCUCAAGAGAUUUUCCCCGGCUGCUAAUGAGUGCCAUCCAUUCCUGUAACAGCCGUUGACGGUGGAAGAAGAGGAGGACCAAGGUGCAGCGUGGUAUGUGUCCAUAUUUAUUAAAUGAACACGGAAAUAACAAAACUAACAAAUAGAACGACCGAAAACAGUUCUGGCUGGUGCAGACACACAACAGAUAACAGAAAAUAAUCACCCACAAAACACAAUAGAAAACCCGGCUACCUAAAUAUGGUUCUCAAUCAGGGACAAUGAUUGACAGCUGCCUCUGAUUGAGAACCAUACCAGGCCAAACACAGAAAUAGGAAAACUAACAUAGACAACCCACCCAACUCACACCCUGACCAUGCUAAAACAAAGACAUAACAAAAUAACUAAGGUCAGAACGUGACAAUUCCUCUGCAAUAUUUGAGGGACCUGACUGGCAAAAAUGCCUUUCUAGCAACUCUCAAGGUGAGUUACACUUACACCAACAAAGACACGCUUGUUUAUGGCAAUAUGUAUGACUUGAGUAAGACAUUUGAUUUUUGCAUGUUAUGUAAUGUGUCCUGUAUUUACCGUUUGUCUUUUGUGUGACAGCACGUAUUGCGUAUACAUGCAGGAGGGCCGCAUGAUUGCUGUCUGUCUGGUACAUGGGGGUGUAUAGCCAAAAUUUAUUUCAGAGAGGCUAUACCGGCAAGUGUGUGGCCUACAACCUCCUGUGCCAGAACUGAAAGAAACGGCGGAAAAUAACUUCAGAGAGAAGUUGGAGAAGGGUUUGCACCCAGAGGCCUGAGUCUGCUAACCAGUUUGUGGGUCAGGAUGGUGUUGAAAGCAGAUCUAUAAAAGAUAACGCACUCUGACACACUGCAGUAAAAAAUGCCAACCAGGGGCUCUCAACCAGGUGGCUGAAGACGUUUUGCCUGACGUCAAACAUUAACAAGUGUCGGAUUAAAGUGUCUGAAAAAAUUUAAACAGAACCAUAAGAGCAGAUUCCUUUUUUUGUCUCCUUUACUGGCACAGUGGUUUUGAAAUAAUUUAUAAUUGUAGUCACUUUCAAUUGAUACAUUGACUCAAAGAACCAUAGAUUGUUUGUAGUUCAUAACAUUUAAACGUUGCUUGACUAGUAAAUUGGGAUACAUGUUAAUAAAAUUUGAUAUUUUAUUGGGCUUAAUGUUGAAUACCUUGUCGUGUUGUGCAUGCCAACCAGGUGAGAAUUACCAGAAUGAACUGUGAUACUUGAUGAAUCAGGUCUUCCCUGCUGUUUUAUCAGCCUCUCCCUUGCCCACUCCAAGCUCCUCUUCAUAGUUCCCUACUGCAAGACACAAUUGUGUGAAAAUAAAGCAGAAGGAAUCAGAACCCUAUUCAAUUGAAGCAGUACUAUAUAGUACUGGGUAUAUGCCUGAAGUUAUUUUACCCUAAUAGGCUUUGAUGGAAAGUAAAUAUUCCAAAAAUGAAAUGAUUGUGCACAUUAAAGUCUACCCUGUUCGAAAGCUGAUAUGUUGUAGACCACCAUUUUAUUACGUUUGCAAUUGCAACAAAUAAUCUGCUCAGACCCCAACCAAGGAACAUCAAAAGUCGUGCUAUAAAUUCACAGACAACACAAAGAUGUUACAGUUUACAUGUU